CAGGCAGCUCUUAAGUGCGGUCAGCAGCCUGCUUGCCAAGCUCCUGCGCGGGUUAUGCCCCAUCCACGUGGCAGAUAUAUUUACUUGCUAUGCUGUCAAGAUUUUCCUUUGUACGUAUCUGCUCUGUCAGUGCCAGGUUUGGCUCCGUGCCGUCUCGGAGGAGAGAGGCCGUGCUGAGGACGGGCUGGCUGCACGCUCGGUGCAGCCGUGGAGACGGUGCGAGGAGCAGGGGUGGGACCGGCUCCUGCGCCACCGCCGCCGGGGUCUGCUGAGAAACACCUGGGAAGUGGUGAUCAGAGGGGGAUCUGUGUCGGGAGCGGAAGGCGCUCGCUGMACGUGCUCUGCCAGAUCCUCGGCGGCUGUAAGUCGGUAUAACUGCAUUAAUUUUAGCGGCGCUGUUGUGCCUGCUGAUGGCCAGGCCUUUGAUGUUGCUCGUUACACGGGYUUUUGGGGAAGGAGCCAAGAGAUGAAGGGAGGCGCAGUUAAUACAUUUGAAUAAAUAAGUAAUAACAUUUUAUAGCCUCUAUUCUCUUGCUUUUUCCAGCGUUAGAGUAGCUCCAGGUUGCCACUGAGGUUGGACACAUAUCCGCACUGUACAACGUGGGUAACUGGAAUAUUUAGCAGGUAUCAGRCUACUCACAUUUCACAUUUUAAUUGGCUCUGAAUGGGGGGAAAAAAAGACAGAAAUUUUCAUAAUGCYGAAUAUGAAGAUGAUUAAGACAACUUUGUUUUCUUUCCCAGCAGUGAAAUGGGCAGGUGAAUGUAUCGGCGUGAGCGUGUACAUGGUAUGGUUUGCAGUGGGGAGGCCGUAAGAGAAAUCAGACAGUCUGGAAAACGCACUCUUUUCCUUCACAACAAAGCUCUCACAGCAGAGAACAAAGUUACGGCGAGCCCGUCUUCUUUUUUUUUUUUUCCAUAAAAGCCUUUGUUUAAAGCUCUGUGGGUUGGAUUUUCAGAGCUGCCGAGCACCCCGCAUUCGGGUUUCUUUUAACUGGAAAUGUAGGUGUUCAGCAGCUCCAGCAGCCGGGGCCUCUCCUGAUGCCUGCGGAGUAGUUGCAGAAAGUGUGUGAGACAUUACUGUAAUGAGGGGCUAAUUCUGCCUCUCCUCCCUGCCUCUCAGAGCAGAUGAAAGGGUGCCUGCGAGUCAURUUAUACGCAUGGAAAAUGGGGGCCCUGAUGUGCUGGCCCUGGCUCCACGGGGCAGGGAUGCUCUCCUGUCACAACCGGCACCGAGUCACAUCUGCAUUCCCAGUGUAAGGCCCGUUUUUAAGGACUCCUAGUUUGGCUA
rnacentral:lncRNA from 1 species